rnacentral:rRNA from 1 species
CAGUCGCCGCGGUAAUACGGAGGGUGCAAGCGUUAAUCGGAAUUACUGGGCGUAAAGCGCACGCAGGCGGUCUGUCAAGUCGGAUGUGAAAUCCCCGGGCUCAACCUGGGAACUGCAUCCGAAACUGGCAGGCUAGAGUCUUGUAGAGGGGGGUAGAAUUCCAGGUGUAGCGGUGAAAUGCGUAGAGAUCUGGAGGAAUACCGGUGGCGAAGGCGGCCCCCUGGACAAAGACUGACGCUCAGGUGCGAAAGCGUGGGGAGCAAACAGGAUUAGAUACCCCGGUAGUCCCUGUCUCUUAUAC